rnacentral:rRNA from 1 species
CAUGCAAGUCGAGCGCCCCGCAAGGGGAGCGGCAGACGGGUGAGUAACGCGUGGGAAUCUACCCAUCACUACGGAACAACUCCGGGAAACUGGAGCUAAUACCGUAUACGUCCUUCGGGAGAAAGAUUUAUCGGUGAUGGAUGAGCCCGCGUUGGAUUAGCUAGUUGGUGGGGUAAUGGCCUACCAAGGCGACGAUCCAUAGCUGGUCUGAGAGGAUGAUCAGCCACACUGGGACUGAGACACGGCCCAGACUCCUACGGGAGGCAGCAGUGGGGAAUAUUGGACAAUGGGCGAAAGCCUGAUCCAGCCAUGCCGCGUGAGUGAUGAAGGCCCUAGGGUUGUAAAGCUCUUUCAACGGUGAAGAUAAUGACGGUAACCGUAGAAGAAGCCCCGGCUAACUUCGUGCCAGCAGCCGCGGUAAUACGAAGGGGGCUAGCGUUGUUCGGAAUUACUGGGCGUAAAGCGCACGUAGGCGGAUUGUUUAGUUAGGGGUGAAAUCCCAGGGCUCAACCCUGGAACUGCCUCUAAUACUGGCAAUCUAGAGUCCGAGAGAGGUGAGUGGAAUUCCGAGUGUAGAGGUGAAAUUCGUAGAUAUUCGGAGGAACACCAGUGGCGAANGCGGCUCACUGGCUCGGUACUGACGCUGA